rnacentral:lncRNA from 1 species
UUGGAUUAAACAAUUACAAAGGAAAUUAAUAACGAAACAUAAACAAGGGAUGACCCUUAGCUUGGAUUUUAUUUACUUUGUACAUGUAAUACAAACCAUAUAUAUAGCUUAUAGAAAUACAAAAGCAAAGUAGCAAAGAUACAUAUUCAACCCCACGAAAAUGACUUCAAAACAAAAUAAAACUUUACUUCACACAACAAAUUAAGAAGCCACACUUGAACACUUAAUUCAUGUGGGAUUCAAUGUCCUUAGUGAUACCAUUCAUGAGGUCAAUAUACUUGUAAGGAUAAGAAGACCCAUCAUUAAGUUUCUCAUACUCUAUAGUCAGAAUUGCCUGGCAAUGGUUAGGACCCUUGGGCACAACUUGGUAAGCUGGCUUAAAGCUUUUAUAAUGGUUGAACACAUCUCCUUCCAGCCCAACCAAGAUUAUCAACAAUUUAUCAUCAUGAAACUCGACCUGUUCCUUGAAAACUUCUGCCUUGCCAUCUUGCAAAUCAAAUACAAGAAAGAAAGAGAUCGAUUUUUUUUCCCUCUAUGUUAGUCAUGAAAAUAAAGACCAAAAGAAAAAAGAAAAAGAAGAAGGUGAUUUUAUGCAUACCAACAGUGUAAUACCAAGUCUUGAUAGAGCCAUGGUCAUGGUCAUCCCAGUUAGCAUCAUGGAUUUCAACUUGUUGAAUGAAUUUGGGGGUUAUAUUGGGAACAUGAAAACAUUGAUGUUUGAAUAUUUUGUAAAAUUUCUCAGCAGGUGCAUUGAUCUCUAAUUCACUCACAAGCUUUCCAAUUAGAGACAUGAUUCAAAACCUUCUAUCUCUAGAUAGAGAAAAAAUGGCUCACUCACUCAAUAAUAUUAAUGUUGAUCUAGUAAUUCUCCAUUCCUAACCCUUACCCUUUUUAUACACAAAGUUUUUGAUCUACUAAUAACUAUUUUGUACCAUUAGGUAUAAUGCAUUAUAUAAUUAAAUUUGACUUUUUUUUCAUUAUCAUUAUGGUGGUAGAGACCCACAUUGUAUAGCAUUAUUUUCUUUGGAUAAAAAUAAUAAUAUUAGUGUGCAUUAGAACAUUUAUUUAUUAAAUAUUAUACCAAUAAAAAAAUUAUCUCCAAUAAAAAAAUUGACAAUAUAUUUGUACCUUACCCAAAAAUCAAAGAUAAUGAAUAUUAUCUUUUAAUAGUUUUUUCUUUAUACAAAGUUGAUAUAGUUUAUUGAUUUGUCUAUUUUUGAAAAAAAAAAAAAACUGUAUAAAUAAAUUAAUAUAAUAAAAAUAAACCACAUUAGCAAGGGAGGAUAAAAGCUCUCAUUUACCAAAAAGUUUGGAAUAAUAAGGUUAAAGUUACUUGAGACUAUUUUAAAUCAUUGUUCACUUAAGAGACUAAAUUAAAGGACACACUUAUUAAAUUUAUUGAACUUAGCCAGAAAAACUUUAUCUGUUAAGUAUUAAUAAAUUUUUAGUUUAUAUUCUAUUAGUAAAAAGUGUUAAGUAUACUACUUUAUUAGACAUAUAAAUAGAGUCAACUAUACUAUCUUAGUUGACACGUAAAAAGUAUCAAAUUUGAUAUCUUAGUUGACACAAAAAUGAUGUUAAAAAAUAUAAUACUUGACGGUUUUUGAGUGUCAAGUAAUGGUACUAUACUUGACAGUCGAUUACUUGACGCUUUUUAAAACAUCAAGUAUAGGUUCACUUGACACCGUAUCAACGUCAAGUAAUCCAAUUUUUGUAGUAUGGAUCAUUUGUGAAAUAUUACAAAGUCUACUGUUGUUCGAUCUUUGUGAAAUAUUAAAAUGAAUUAGAAAAUAUUUAAAAUAAAUUUAUAUUAAAAAUAAUUAGACAAUACUUAAAUAUGUAUCAGAUGGCCCACAACAACUCCUGGUCGAAUGAUAUAGAGCCUCGUAAUAUUUUUAUACCAAAUAGAUAUAUUCCUAAGUUACAUCCAUAUCAAAUUGUCCAAUCAUAGGUACCAUAGCACUAAAUCUUCUGCAAUUUAGUCAUCUUCUUACCAAGCGUGCAACUCUAUAAGACCAAUUUGUAGUUCUCAGGUCAAUGUUGUGCAGAAGUGAUUCAAUAUUAUAGUCGAGAGAACAUCUUGUUUGAGAAAAAUUGUCUAAUGUUCUAUUAGCACCGAUGUGAAAACACAUUAGAGGACUAAUCGUCUCCCUUAUGUCUUGACUAUUCAUAAAGAAUUUGGGUAAACUAUCAUUGACUAUUUUGCAUGGCUCUCAAAUAAUCUAAAACGCAUAUUAAACGAAUAAUAAUAUGAAAUAAAUAAUAUUGAACUUAACAUUCAAGUUUAGCAUUGACAUACCUAAUCAGGUUGAAGAAGAUCAAACAUGUAUAUGUAGUGAGAUACUAUAUGUGUAGCUAACAUGGUUAUAUUUUGAUCUCUCCACUUAUAUUUUAGGUUUCAAAUUAACACAAGUAUGGUUAAUUCAAAUUAAAUUAAAAUAAUAUGUCUUGAACUGUAAGCUUAUCUAUGUAAUCGGUGAUAAUUAACAUGUCAGAGUUGUGGAGCUAUUUUUAAGAAUUGUUCCAAAGUCUAUAUUUAGUUUCACGCCGACUUGUCCCUCCUCAAACCGUCCAACUUGGUUUUGAUUGCCAUAACUUAGUCUGUUUGGUGCGUGAUCGCUUCUACCUUACCGUGAAACAUUGGUCUUUGGUGGUAAUUAGUGGUAAUAGUGGGUUUGACCAAUUAUGCAAUUGUAGUUUCCUUGAGUUGUAACAUUAGUUUAAUUGGUUAACUUGUUAUUCAAUCCUUGAAGGUGUUGGAAAUAGCGUUCGAGUUCUUAGAAUUCACAUUGAUUUUAGAUUUUAGUUGGAGUUCGAUUCUUCACUACUUGGGUAAGUUUAGAAUUCACAUUUGGGUGAUUUGAGUGAGAGAAAGUAUUAUGAAAGUGUUUGAUUUUUCAUUUAAUUAUGUUUAGGUUGCUUUGUUGGACUUUAAUUCGAUCAAGAAGCUUAGAUAACCGUAAGGUCAGGGGUUCUUACUACUCGACUCUAUAAUAAAUUUGGAAUGUAUUGACUGUAUGGAUUUUACUGAAUUGAGAUGGGUUAACUGAUAUGUGAGUUUAGAUAUGAUGACUGAACUGAGAGCAUUGAACUGACUGAAUUGAGAGUUGUUGACUGUUAUGUUAAUGUAUAGAUAGUGUAUUGUAGAUUGAAUUGACUUAACUGAGAUGAGUGAUGUUUAUGUAUAAGUAUAAUUAUUUGAGGAAUCGUUAUGCUAAUGUUUGACUAGGUACUGGUUUGCAUAAAUUGACUGUAUAUGUACUGAACUGAAAGAAUGAUAUGAUGGUAUCUUGAAUUGUAAAUUGAUCAAUUGACUAUUUAAAAUGUUAGAAUGGACAAAGGAGAAAUGUUAGCUUUAUCUAUAGGAUAGUGUGCCUUGCAGGUGUCCCACGGGAUCACUACUUGUUGUUCAUCCUUUGGAGCACUAGACUGAUAGGUGCAUUCUUCGGAAGCACUAGAUUGAUAGAUGCAUCCUUCGGGAGCACAAGAUUGAUAUAUGCAUCCUUUGGGAGCGUCCUACGAGAUCACGAGACUGUUAUGAUGCAGGGUACCAGCUCCUAAUAGGAAGUUAAUAAUUUUUAUUCUCACUCUUUUAUGUUUAACUUUUCAGACAAGGGUAAUACGAGAGACAGACCGACGAGGGACAAGAAGGAUGCGCGACUACCAUACACAAGGACCUAGCUUUUUCUAAAAAUUUGCUUCCGCUUAUGGUUUUUUUUAAAUUUUGUUUUCUGAUUGAACUAAGUUUAUGGACAGUCAUUUUGUAAACAGUACUUUUAGAAUUUGAUUUGUUUGAAAUAGGGCUCGAGCAACGUUUUUUUUUAUCGUUAUGAUUUAAAAUAAAUUUCACCAUACUUUGUGUCAAUCAAAGUGUUUUGUUUAAAAUAAUGAUUUCGACUUAGAUAGAAAAUUUGAGUUGUUAUAUAUGUACCACAAUUAAAGGACUAAAUUGAUAUAUACUUGAAAAUAUAAAAAACUAAAUUAUUACAUACUAAAGUUCAUGGACUAAAAUUGUUAUUUUUACAAAAGUUUAAAGACAAAGAGUGUUUUUUAUCAAAUAAGUAUUUUGAUUAUUUUUUCUAUAUUUAAAUACAUCCCACACACACAAAUAUAAAAAUAAGGUUAAUCUUCAUAAAUAUAACAAAACACCAAAAAAUUUAUGACUCGUGUAACAAAAUAAAAAAGCACAUGAUAUUUUCAUAAAUUUUAGGUUUGCCAAAUGAUUUUUCCCUCAUUUUUCUUCUUCUUAUUUGUGAUUUAUUCAAUUCCUCUUCGUAUUAUUAUUUUUUCUUCAAAUUAUUACUUAUUCUUCAAUUUAUAUUAUUAUGAUUAUUUAUGUAAAUAUUUACCAAUUUCUUCAUUUCAUCUUUUAGAAUGUCUUCUUUCUUCUUCACUUCAUAUCUUCUUUUUUUCUUCUUGAUACAAGAUUUAAAUGAUAUUGGACUCAACUCUUUAUACUAAGUUGAGAUCAUUACUAUUAAAUUAAAUAAAAAUGUUUUAAAAAUAAAUAAAUAAAUAAAUAAAAGAAGAUACUAAAUAUUUCAAUAAAAACCUCAAAUACUUAUUUAUAAAUCGUAGAUAAAUUAUGGUGAAAUAAAAAUAAAUGUGAAAUACUAGUUCUGACCCAAUUUAAAAUAAAAAGAAAAUAUCAUAAGAGUACUUAUGAGUUCUGAAUUUUAAAUAAAAUACAAUAAAUCAAAAUACUGAAAACAUAAAGGCGAACGCAAUCAUAAGCUUUUCUCCAUAGCAAACCACGAUCACUUCUUGUCAUUUGCUAACUUUGCUCUACCUCUACCUUUGUCUGAAAAAUUAAACAUAGAAAGAGCAUAAACAUAUACUGAGUAAGGUACCCACUACUAGUCCCGCUAGGUAUUUGUUAACUUUCAUAUGAUGUUUCAUUAUCUUGUUCUUCAUCUUCAGCUACUUCCUCUUCUUGUCCAUCUUUAUCUUCAUCCGUCUAAAUGUAACAAAAAAAAUGUUGUCAAAAUGAUUGUGCAAGAAAAUGUAAACGAUUGUUUACCAUUGUCAACACAAUCAUUUAGCACGACUAACACGAUCGUUUAGAUUUGACACAAUUUUCUCAUCGUUUAAAAAAAACUAUACAAUUGUAUGGAUAUGAUCUAAACGCUCGUUUAAAUUUGAAGCUUUUAUUCCAUUGUUUAAAAAGAACUACAUGAUCGUGUGGAUUUAAUCUAAAUGGUUGCUUAUCAUAGUCAACACGAUCGUUUAGAAUGGUCAACAUGAUCUUUUAGAUUUGAUAUAUUUUUUCUAUCGUUAAAAAGAAUCACAUAAUCAUAUUGGUACUACCUACAUGAUCGUGUAUCAUGAUCUUUUAGAUCGAGAAGAAUUACAAGCGCGUGUGUGAUUAAUGACAUGUUGACUGGGACAUUUUUUUUAUAUUUUUUUAUUAUGGACCUGUUGGCUUUUUCUUCAAAAUUUAUACAAUGAAAAUAUUUUGUCAGUGUUAUAUUUUUUUUAAAAAACCCUUUAAAUAAUUAAUUUAAAUUAAAUUGAACAAACAACUCUCUUACGUGAGAGUUAUUUAAGAAACAUGAGAUGCCUUUCCACGUAUUCCGAUCUCUCCCUAACUUUCUCUUUUUAUAUGAGAAAAAGGGAAGUAAGUAACACUCCACAAAUUUGGAAGAGAAGAGUGUCUGCUUAAUCUCUUAGAAGAAGGAAAUAAAAACUAAAUUUUGGUUCUCACAAGCUAAGAACUUCAAUCAAUUUUGGUUCUCACAAGCUAAGAACCUCAAUCACUUAGAGAAUAGUAGAGGUUUCAAGUGGUGGUGAUCUACAAUUCGGGGUUUUGUGUAAAUUUAGAGAAAACAAUGGAAGUAAGGUCUCCUCUCUGUAAUUCUAAUUAUAUAUUUAACCAAUUUAUUUAGUUUACAGUAAAUUACUUUUGUAAUUUACCAACGUAAAGGGUAUUUCUAAAUUUCCCAAUUAAAUUAAGUUUAAGGUUCGGCUAAAUUUGUCGACGCUUGAAAUCACCUGAGUAGUAAUUGUUAAGAUUUGUAUGGUAGGACUUCUAGCUCUUCUUGGGUCUUGGCUUGAGUCUUACAUGACCGCUUACAACUCAAUAAAAUUUUGUGCGCAUAAAGUUUAAUUAGGGGUUAGGGUUUUAAUUUUUAAUCAAUAAUUAUGAAAAAAAUCAAUUUAGGAAAAAAUCAAUUUAUCCUCUCAAAUUUGGGAGUUAUGUUAGAACCUUAAACUAAUAAUUGUAUCAAUUUUAACUCUAAAAUAUUAGAUGUAUCAAUUUAUACUUUACACGUUCAUAAAUAACUUUCAUAUAUAUAUGUAUGUAUCAAUUUAAAUUCCCAAUUUUCAUUAAUUUUAUAUUAUAUUAUUUUAACUAGAUUUUUGGGUUUGUUCCUGUCUCAAAAUUAAGUGUGUGUGAAGAAUAUAUUAGGAUAAAAUGAAUAGGUAGAAAAAGAGAAAAAUAAAAAAAUAAAAAAUAAAGAAAAAAGAAAUAGUGAGGCAUAGUUGAUUCUCACAUUACAAAUAUGUGUGAACAUGUUCUCUAAAGAAACGAAUUCCAAUUAAUAUUUUCUUAUUUUCAUUUAUUGAUUACGUUUGUGAGGAACCCUAAAUCUACACAUAAUUGUUGACCAUAUAAUUCUUAUUUAAACCAAACCAAAAAAAUAUUAGAAAAAAAGUGAUAGUUGCUACACCAUUUAUUUUCCUCACUUUCAUUCGCAAUUAAUAUUUAUAGGAAAAUAUAAACUAAAUGAUAUACAACUGGACGCAUGCAUAUAUAAAUUUCCUAACAAAAUUGGUUGUCUUUCCAAUUAUUAAUAAAAAAUCAAAUAUUAUUAAUCAUCUGACCCCAAAACUCAACCAAUCAAAUCAAAUCAAAUAUUUAAUAAAAAAAUCAAAUCAAAUAUUUAAUAAAAAAAUCAAAUCAAAUCAAAUAUUUAAUAAACAAAUGAGACUUGAACAACUCUAACAUUUAACGCUACAACGUCCGGUCUAACUUUAAACUUUUAUCUUUUAACUUAGCUCCAACUUGAUACUUAAACUACUAGACGACAAACUUUCACAAUGCAAUAUAACAAACCAACUUAUUUUAUUAACUUAACAACAUGUGUUCAAUACAUAAUACAUGCUUUCUUAAGUAGAGAGAACUAUAAUUAAAACUUCAAGCCCUCCAACGUCUGGUGAAACUUCUUGAAAUUCAAAUUUAAAAUGUUUGUCUAACGCCUUAAUGUAUAGCAGCUCGUCUUACCCUUCACAACUUGGCCUCAAUGCCUUUUUAUUUGAGGAAGGGAAACUUAAUACACAAGUCAAAUACUUAGUCAGUGAGGUUUUAGAAAUCAAGGAAAUUCAUUUUCAUAAACAAGUUCAUAAUGCCUCAUUCAAAACAUAAAACCACACAUUAGUCUUUCUUAUCCCUUUCGCUAAGAACAUGAACUAUUCUCACGCAAAGACUACUAUGAUUUCUCGCAUCAUCAACAUUCUUUGUAGAAUUUUCUGAUUCAUUUUUCGUUGCUCAAGCUGUUACACUACUACAAAAAUGAGUUUUAAUGAUACUACUAAUCAAGACACUGUGUCGUUCAAAAUAAAAAAAAAACAGUAGGGUGAGGUACAUUGUGUCGUUAAAAAUAAAAAUACGGUGUAUUUCUUGACACAAUUUAAUUUUUCUCGACACAAUUUUUCCGUUGUUUAUUAACGAAAAUUUUUUUGUGUCAUUAAAAAAAUUUCCAAAUGAAAAAACCCCAAAAUUGAUUUUUUUUUUUUUAAUUUUCCUCCCUCACGCAGUUAGAACUAAAUAAAAACCACAAAUUUUCUCUCAAGCAAAAAUUAUGCCGUCAAAGGAAGCCUUAACACAAUUUUUUUUGCUCUCUCUCUACCAAAUAUGCAAAAACAAUUCUGUUGAACAAAGUGGGUAUGCGUCCUUGUGAAGAACCCUGGCCUUCUAACUUUUUACCACCCGCCGCCAUCAAUUCCAAGCUUUAGCCAUUGUUGUCGUUGUCGUCACAAAUUUUCUCUCAAGGAAAAACGUUGCCGUCGAACAAAGCCUUAACACAAUUUUUUUUGCUCUUCCUCUCUAGCAAAAACACAAAAAAAAAUUCCUAUUGAACAAAGUGGAUACGUGUACACGUCCUUGUGAAGAACCCUUGCCUUCCAAUUUUCUGCCACAUGUCGCCAUCGAUUCCACACUCCAACCUCUGUUGUCGUUGUCCGGACAACAAGCCUUCGUUGUCAAACCCACCAAUCUAGCCACUACCGUCGAAUAAAUUUAUUUAGAAAUAUGAGUUUUAAAUAUGACACUUGAAAUAAAAAAAAAGGGACGGGAGGGAAUAAAAUGUGUCGUUAAAAAUAAAAAUGUGAAAUUUUUCGUGUCACAAUUUUCUCGACACAAUUUUUUUGUUGUUAAUUAAUGACAUAAAUUAUGUGUCAUUAAAAAUUGUCCUAAUAAAAAAUCAAUGUUUUCCUUCAUUUGUAUGCUUUCUGAUUUUAAAAAAAAAAUUUACGCUUUCAUCCCUCUUGCAAACCACGAUCGAAAAAAUCCUUACUUCAUCCCAUGUUGCCAUUGUCUUUCUCUUUCGCAAAUGCACUCCAGCAACGUUUCCCCCUCAUUCGCAAACGCUCUUCACGCCUUUCCCUCUCUCUCAAAAGCUCUUCACUCACCGUUUGAAGGAGCUCACCAAAUUUGCAGGUAGUUGAAGAAUCUGUGGACCAUGUGAUUGUUCGAGUCCAUUUAUGAGUUAGUUUGAUUAGAUUAUGUCACACAUACAUCUAUUAUAAUUAAUUUAUUAUUUGGAUUAUUGUAAAAUCUUUACCAACAAUGUAAUUUACAUUUUUUAUUAUCAAUAAUGAAAUCUUUCUAAACAUAUGUGGGUAAGUUGAAUCAUGUAUUUAAUUUAUUUAUAUCCAUCAUUUAUAUGUCAAAAAAUAUGUGUCGUAAAAUAGCUUUUCUUGACAGUAGCUUCAAUGCAUGACACAAAUUUCAUCAUCAAAACUCUUUAUGACGCAAAUUUUGUGUCGUUGAAGCCCUAAUUUGUACUUGUGUUAACUCAAUGUGCAUCGUUCAACGUAUUCACUAAAUUAUUAUAAAAUUGGUUUACAUGUAAGGAGAUCUACGUAUUUAAGGUAUACUUACUCUUUAAACGAAAAGCAUAUUUACUCUUUAAACUAAAAGCAAAGUGUUAUUUCCAACCCAAAAUUACAAGGACACUUCAAAAAAUAACAAAAAAAAUUUAUGAUAAUAGGAUUAAUGUCAUUGCAUUUUCUAAAUUGUAAAAGAAGUAAACUUAAAAGUCUAUAACCAUCUGAUAGUCGUCUGACAGCCAUUUGAUAGUUGUUUAAUAAUCGUUUGAUAUCAAUAAUUUUGUCAUAUUCGCAAUAUACAAAAAUAAGUACCAUGAACUAUUUUUUAAAAAUUGUUUUUGUCGCAAUUUUUCAAAUUAUAAAUAUGUGGUUACUUGUUUAUUUUUAGUGUUAGUAGUAACAUCCUAAUUCAUUUGUUUUGAGCUGAGAGGAUGUUGUUGACCGAUCCAAAUUCUCUCUAAUUUAUUAAAUUUAUAGAUAUAUUCUUCCUACACAGUUAUUUGAAUGUUGUUUUCAAAAUUGUUGUACGAUAGAUCCAAAUAAAGCAUGACGAGAACAAUAUUUUCAUUACAUCAACAUUUUGGAUUUAGAAUUUUAAGUUUUAAAAUACAAAAUUAUAUUAAACAAAGAUAAAACCGUUGAAAAAUAUAGUAUAUAAUGUCGUCGAUUUAAAUUUUAAAAUAAAAAUAUUUAUUAUGUAUUAACAUUACAAGUAAAGUUUUCUAUGCUUAAUUUUAAAAAUAAAAACAAAAAACAAAAUCUUACUAACUAAACAUCAAAUUUUCAGAUUUUUAUUUACAAAUUUUCUAUCAAAUAGUUCUUACCCUUUUGACAAUUUCUCAACGAAGUAUCAUUCAAACAAAACUUGUUAUUUGAAUGAACAAGGUCAACAUUUGUUAUAAAAGAAGAUACAUAAUGCAAAGUUAUUCUUUUAAGAAAAUCAAAGGUUAAAUAAACAAAUGUUUUGAAUUAAGUUAUAAUCAAAUCUAAGUUCGUCAUAAAAUAUGUAAUAUAAUAACAAAUAUGAUAUCAUAUCAAAUCAAGAAGAUCUUGCCUAUGAUUAUGGACAAACUAUUGUUUUAUUCAAGAAGAUCUUGCCUAUGGUUAUGGACAAACUGUUUUAUUCAAGUGUCACUUCAUUCAAGAUUUGUAAGAAAUUAAAAAGAUAUUUUGAAAACAAUGUAAGUUUGAAAAUAAUUAAACUAAAUUGGAAUGGGCAAAGUUGUAAAACAAGUUAACAAAUUAAAUUAAAAUGCAGAAAGUAAAGAUAGUGGUGAGAAGAGAGUAGUAGAUCAAAAAGUCCAAGAAAUUAAAAAUCUUAAUCUAACAGCCUAAUUAUCUUAUUCAGAAAAGUCAAUCAGCACCUUCAUGUUAUCAAACUUUUUAAUUAGCGUCAAUUUAGUUAAAGUAAACAUGUCAUUUGAGACAAUUAUAAAGGUUAAACAUGUCAGUUUAAUUAACCAAACACUUCACAGAAGGUUUAAACAAAAUAAUAUAAAGUUACAAAAUAGAUGUCCAUUACGUUUAGUGUAAAAAUGCUAUGUAUCACUUCCUCCACCAUCCCAUCUACAUUAUCACGUGUCUUGAAGAUACUAAUCCUUAAUGUCUAUGUAAUCUAUCUUAUGCUUGUCAAUUUUUCUAUAAAUGGUCGCAUUUUGUGAGUCUCGUAAGUUAUACACACAUAUUGGUGGAAAUUCAAAUAAAUUCAAAAUAGUGGAGGUUUUAGAAGAAAAAAAAUUGUUCUCAUAAUUUCUUAUUAUUUAUUUAUUUUAUUUUCUCGAUAUUCAUGUUCUUGUUGUGCCUAAGCUUUACAACAUGUUAUGUAACGACCUGAAUUGUCCAUAACCAAGUUGGGGUCAUUACUGAUCCAAUUAUCUUAACUAUCUAAAAACAAUAGUGGAAGCAUAAACCAACUAGUUCACUGGUCCUUCUCGCUCGCCAACUUGCCUUUUUUCUUACCUUUGUCUAAACAUAGAGAAAAAGAUGAGUAUAAAAAUACCUAGUAUGAGACCCACUAGUUGUCUCGCUAGGUGAUCUCUUAACUUUUUCAUUAUGAGAUACCAUAAAAUCUUGUGAACUCAAAAGAACACACGUGAUCUAGUGAUCCCAUAUGAACACUCACAAGUCUGGUAAUCCAAAAGAAGCAUACAAUAGACCAAACUGUGAAGUUAUCCCAUUGGACCACAUAUGAAACAUGGCAUGACUAAAUGACAGUCCUAUUGAGCGCACACAAUCCAUAUGACUGUGAAAGGUGAUCUUGAGAGAAACCAUAUAUUAUGUAGGUACAUGUCCUAAUAGUCAAAGUUAAAAGACAUCACACAGUUCAAAAGCAUGUAGCAAUCAUCAUAAACAUGAUAUGAAACAUCCAUCAUACCAACCCAUAUAAUCCAUCAAACAAGCAUAAACAUCACAUAAGAUCAACCAACAACUAUAACAACUCAUCUAUGCAUUUUAGCUACUGUCAAUGCAUAAUCACUCUAUACAUGCAUAAUUUUAAAUUUUCAUUCGAAGAAAAAAUCUCUUACCUAAGAUUAGUUAAAAAGAAAGUAAGUCAGAUCAUUACUUAAAAGAUAAAACAUCAUUUAACACUUUUUUGCAAAGAGAAACUAAAUUCUUAUUAAAAUACUAUCACAUACAUGUUCAAAAAACAUAGAAUUAACAAAAUGAAUAAAAAUAAUGUGUAAACAUGACCAGCAUGUUUUAAAACUUUUAAAGAAAAUAAGGAUAAAUAAAUAAGACAAAAUUUUAAAUAAAAUGUCUAAAACUCAUAAUAAUGAAAAUUGAUGAAGAAAAGGAGGAAGCAAAAUGAGGUCCCCAUAUGGCAUGUUAUAGGCACUUCCUCACUCGCUCGACCAGGAUUUCUUCAACUUCUUUAUUCUCUUUCUGACUGAGGUCGAUGGUUGGUCAGACUAUGACAUUACGCUGCUUGUCAUUAGAUUCUUGAUGGUAGGGUUUCAAGUUACUCACAUGAAUUACUGGGUGAAUUUUCAUCCAUAUGGGCAACGUCACUCUCUAAGAUGUAUUCCCUACCUUCUUCAGCACUCCUACUGGUCCCUCAUAUUUCCUCACGAGGCGUUGGUCUUUGCAUCCUCAGAAUCAAAAAUCUGUUUCGAUUGCAACUUAAUGAGGACCUGAUCUCCCACUCAAAACUCAAGGGGGCGACACUUCUUAUCUGCCCACAUCUUCCUCUGCUUCGAGGCCUUCUCCAGAUAGGCUCUAGCAAUGUCCGUUGUCUGCUUCCAUUCCCUAAUAAAGUUAUGAGCUUGAGGGUUCUUCCCCACAUAGGGGUGAUCAACAAGGUGUGGCAAUACCAUUUUCCUGCCUCAAACAAUUUCAAAUGGGCUUCUCCCAAUUGACGAGCUCGUAUGAGAGUUAAAACAUAACUGGGCUACAUCUAACAACUAGGCCUAAUUCUUCUCCCUUGCAGUAACAAAAUGGCAUAAAUAUUCUUUGAGCAUACAGUUAAACUGCUCGGUCUGACCGUCUGUCUGAGGAUGAUAACUUGAGGACACAUUCAGACUUGUCCCCAAGAAAGUGAACAAUUUUUUCCAAAAGGUGCAAACGACCAUCUCGAUCAGUCACAAUGCUUGACAGUACACCCCACAACUUGACAAUAUGUUUAAAGAAAAACUGGGCUGUCAAUUGUGCCGAACACUGCUUGCUAGUGGGAACAAAAGUGGCAUAUUUUGAGAACCGAUCUAUGAUGACUAAGAUGAUCUCAUAGUCACCUACUUUGGGGAGAUGAGUGACGAAGUCUAUAGAAACACUCUCCUACGGUCUCGUUGGAACUGACAGCGAGGUUCAGGAAGUCCAGCAACCUUCGCUUUCUCGAUUUUGUCCUAUUGACAGAUGAGACAGGUCUUCGUGUAUUGCAUGACGUCUUCUAUCAUACUGGGCCAAAAGUAACCCUUCUUCAGUAACGCGUACGUUCGCUGCCAUCUUGCUUGUUUUAAAGUCUAUUUUGGCUGGGUAAAGAAGUGGCAAGUAGCACUAUUAUCUGUCUUCACAACAAAAGUAGACACUUCUUUACCACCAUAAGAAAUACCACCACAAGAGAACACCACAAUAGUGCUACUUGCAAGCAUUAUUGCAUUCAGUAUUGCAUCACCACAAAAUUAGUCCUUAGUCAUAAUUUCCUGCAUGUAUCUCAUAAGAUAAUACCCACAUUCGACAGUACCCACUUGUAAAUGACACUAUAUUACAAAACCAACCAUGCAAAUUAUAUUAUGUGGUUAAAUUAUAUGUAAUGAUAUUAAAUUUAAAUUAUCUUUUAAAUAUAUUUACCUUUACCCACAUUUCUUUUUUUUAAGAUUGAAAAAUAGUCAAUGCCCUAUAUUUCCCAAAAUAUAGUAUAAUUCAAAAUAAAAUAUUCUUUACAUAAAAAAACAUAAACAUAGUUACAUAUUCGUUAUGUAUUUAAUAUAUUCUCAUGAGCUUGUUCUCAAUAAGUCAAGAUGAUACACCACAUCAUCGUACACAUUAAUCACAACUAAUGAUCAAUGAUCACUAAGUAAAAUAUAUAUGCAACUAAUUAGUAUUUUGCUACUGAUGCAAGUUUGAGUUGAUAAAAAUUGUACUUACUCGAGAUUAUAAGAAGCAAUAACCAACUCAUCUUAUUUGAAAGUUAUUGAUCUAGUCAAAAUGUUUCGAGCUCUAAUCUCUUGUGUAGUAUGACCCGCUGAUAUAAGAGAUGAAUCUACAAAACAUACUUCAAAACUUUCUUCAAAUCAAUAAUGAAGGAGUAUAAGUAUCUACAAUAUAUGAAUUGCACAAAUCUACUUAUUAUUAAUUAAAAUGUGAAUAUAUAUAUAUAUAAUAAAAAAGUAGAGCUUACUUACAUGAUAUAAGCCACCAUUGAUAAAAUCUUCACAUUUUGCAAAAAUCAAUUAUCUUCUUGCAAGACGUGACUCUUUCAACAUAAACCAAAUAUAUAGUUGAAAGAAAAAACUAGACCCAUAAACCAUUACCUUUUUUAGCAUAUACUUCAAUUGUAUUGGUAGGUUGGAUGGUGCACUAGUAGCUUCCAUCUCCUUCGUCAUCGUUCUUAAAGGUUUUCCUCACAUAAUUAAGAAACAAUAUAAGAACUUAUACACGUAAAAUUAUUUGUUUCUAAAUAAGAUAAACCGUGAGAAUUUACAAUGCACCUUCACAUCUACCUAAUUCUUCGAUACUGGUGGCUAAGUAGUAGCAAUCACUUCCUCCUCUUCUACCACCUUCUACUUUGAUGUAGGUGAUACACGAGUAGCAAUCACUUUCUUCUCUUUUACCACAUUUUUAAAAUUUGUAUCAGUUGCCUCAAGCUCAAGAGAUGGUACACUAAUAGUUUGUUUCUUUUACAAUUUUUUUUUUAAUCUUUCUCCUAAAACCAUCAAAACAUUUGGAGAAGUAAUUUGUAACUUCACUUUAAUAAACAAUUGAUAUUGUAACUUUACUUUAGAAACAAACAUUUUACUUUCUCCUGAACUUUAAACUUGCUCUUACAAUUUCCAAAUAUGUUUACAGAGUGUUCAUUUUUAUCAAUGAUUUGUUUGGUUGUAUCCAUUUUUUUUUUACAUUCUUGGUUUUGCUUUGUGAAAAUAAAUUGUAGAUGAAAACCACCCACACCACAUUUUGGAGUACCCAAAGCUUGAGUCAACACAUUCACUUUAACAAACAACAUUCAUGUUUGUUGAAGAGUGGAUUUGCAUUAUUAUUCUCAAUCUCAUCCUAAAAGUUGUUAAAUAUGAUCGGUAACAUGUAAAAAUAUAUACAUGUGAUUUGAUGCAAACGUAACAUUGAGAAUCUUACUAUUUGAUUGGCUACUUUUUGUACAUCUUCAUUAUGUAUUCUCCAUUUUUUUAUCCAAACUUUUUUCAACAUAUUAGCUCGUCCAAUAUCCUAUUAGUUAGAAGAAACCUUUUUCUACAUAUCAUUAACCACACAAUAGUUAAAUUUAAGUAUAUCUGAAAAAUAAUAUAAUAUUCUUAACUAACCAUUAGCAAUAUUCGUUCAUAUAACCUCUUCUAGACAUUAUAUGACUAUACUAAUUCUCUUUCUGAUCAUGUUAUUGACUUCUCACUUAAUAUACAAAUUUUAUAUAACAAGAUUAAAAUAACAAACGUAUUAUUGAUUAUAUUAAAAAGAAGUUUAAUACAUGAAAUUUUAAAGAUAGCCUUGAUCUGACAAACUCUCACGAAACAUGUGUUUCAAUAAUGUGAGAAUACAAUUAAAGCAAAUCUACCAAGAAUUACGGUUCAUCCAUAAAUAGGAUAAUAUAUUGCAAUCGUUAACCAACUCUCAAAUUGACAAAAUGCAACAUCCAUUAUUUUAUAAUGCUCUUCUUACUUUUACCAUCACCCUAAACAUUUAACCAUGCUUAGUGUAAGCUUUUGAAACUCACAUAGCCUAGUAGAAAGUUCAAAAAGUGUAAAAAAAAAAAAAAAAAAAGACUUAAAGACCCAAAAUGACAACUAAGUGUUCCGGUGCAACAAAAUUGUUUCUAAAUGUCUAGAGAGCAUUUACAAUUGAUGGUCGGUAAGAAGGUCAUUAUUAAAAUAUCAAAAUAGGCAUUUCAUUAAUUUAAAGAAAUAUUUAUCUUACACAUUUUAAGAACAACAUGAAAGUACUCAAAACUUACACAUUUUCCCAAUAAUAAAUAUUUAUCUCCCUCAUUUUCCCAAUUAAAUAUAUAUCUAAUUACUUCUCUUUCCUAAUCAAUUUACCAAUUCCCCCAAUGAAAUAUGUAUACCUAAUACUGUAACAUAUAUAUUUAAUAUCUCAAAUUCCUCCUUCCCAAGUCGUACGGAUUCAAGAUCAAGGGGUGCCUCUGAAUCUCCAUUCUUCCUCCUUUCCCUUCUAACUAUCCGCCUAACCCUCUUUCUCUCUUCUUUCUGGGUCCUAUGAGUAAACUCAGAUUAAGAGAAUGAAGUGAGGAUUGAAAAAAACACUUAUCUCUCUUCUUUUCUGGGUCCUUUGAUUUUUUUUUUUUUCCGAUCAUUUGUUCUUAGUUAUAUUUUAAUUAAUUCAAUCAAUUUACUUCCCAUUUUAAGUUGUAAAGGAAAAAAAAUUAGAUGUUUACAGACAUAAAAUAGACACAAAACAUAAUGAAUAAGAAAGAAACAAUUGAGUUGUCUUGGAUUAAACAAUUACAAAGGAAAUUAAUAACGAAACAUAAACAAGGGAUGACCCUUACUUGGAUUUUAUUUACUUUGUACAUGUAAUACAAACCAUAUAUAUAGCUUAUAGAAAUACAAAAGCAAAGUAGCAAAGAUACAUAUUCAACCCCACGAAAAUGACUUCAAAACAAAAUAAAACUUUACUUCACACAACAAAUUAACAAGCCACACUUGAACACUUAAUUCAUGUGGGAUUCAAUGUCCUUAGUGAUACCAUUCAUGAGGUCAAUAUACUUGUAAGGAUAAGAAGACCCAUCGUUAAGUUUCUCAUACUCUAUAGUCAGAAUUGCCUGGCAAUGGUUAGGACCCUUGGGCACAACUUGGUAAGAUGGCUUAAAGCUUUUAUAAUGGUUGAACACAUCUCCUUCCAGCCCAACCAAGAUUAUCAACAAUUUAUCAUCGUGAAACUCGACCUGUUCCUUGAAAACUUCUGCCUUGCCAUCUUGCAAAUCAAAUACAAGAAAGAAAGAGAUCGAUUUUUUUUCCCUCUAUGUUAGUCAUGAAAAUAAAAAACAAAAAAAAAAAAAAAAGAAAGAAAGAAAAAGAAGAAGGUGAUUUUAUGCAUACCAACAGUGUAAUACCAAGUCUUGAUAGAGCCAUGGUCAUGGUCAUCCCAGUUAGCAUCAUGGAUUUCAACUUGUUGAAUGAAUUUGGGGGUUAUAUUGGGAACAUGAAAACAUUGAUGUUUGAAUAUUUUGUAAAAUUUCUCAGCAGGUGCAUUGAUCUCUAAUUCACUCACAAGCUUUCCAAUUAGAGACAUGAUUCAAAACCUUCUAUCUCUAGAUAGAGAAAAAAUAG